rnacentral:misc_RNA from 1 species
UCUCCUACGUCCGCGAAGCAGACUCGGCAAUAUCGCGCAUAAUAACAUAUAUCUAUAUAUAUGUAUAAAAUAUAUAUAGAUGUGCGAGUGUACUGUGUGCGUGUACCUAUACAUAUAGUCGCGUUCGCGUACUGUACAGUCGCUGCUACACUGGCUACAUACUACGACUAGCAGUACUUGUACUUGGCGUGGUGUCAGCGAGCCAUACAUGCAUAUUCCAUAAGAAUUAGUGGUUAGUGUAACGUUGGCGGCGCGCGUCGUUCCUUGUCAUUUCUACUGUACGCCACGGCGCAUUCGGAUUUCUGCUGCUGCAGUGCCCCCGAGAGCUGCACGCGCUUCAAUCCAACAACAUGAUCUGUAUUGGAGCGACGACGAUGUGUCGUUGAUGCUCGCGAACCUCGACUCUGCCAACUCAUUGUUGCCAUCUCCAAAGACAACGACCAACGACGACGAAUACAAACUUGCCCCUCUGCUGUACUGCUGCUGUGAUCGUGCAGCUUAUACGAGAAGCAGCCCCUGCCACGAGAGCACAACGAAAAUAAACCCUGCAGUGGUUGUUGCGAGCCUGUGUAUUGUGCCGCUCUGCAUUUUCUUAUACAGCAACGAGGUACACGUCUAUGUGUGCAGUGUAUAUGCGUGAGUUAUAAUCUCGAGCGAGCGCGUGUGCUUUCUCUCAACGUAUAUAGCCAGUCUGUGCGUGCGCGAAUCGUUGUGCAAUUUUCAUACUUCGAAUAGUAUCUCUCUCUCUUGAGUCUUGGUGUGUCGUUGCUGCUGCUGCUGCUGCUGCUGCUACUGUUUCUGUUGUUGUUUGUUCGCGUUUCGUACGCUAUGAUCGGAAAUAGAUACAUAAAACUGGAGAAAAUGUCCAGUGCUUGUCUCAAAGUGUAGUUUUUCACGUCGCGUUUACGGCAUAAUAUUUUUCAUGCGAAUUUAUCAACUGUGCUGUGCACGAUGCGACGACGACUCCUAAGGAUCAUCGAGCGAAUGCAACAACGAGAUCACGAACGCAGCGUGCCAGCAGCAUCUUAUUAUACCAAUACUACUACUACAUCGGCGUUUGCAAGAGGACGCUUCGUUGGAUGUAUGCGUCAACGACGUUUAGAUCCAAGUGAUAGAAAGUGACAAUAAUUAUCAGGAUGGAGAACGGACAGCAGCAGCGUCCUCCGGGUGGCGGCGGUGGACUGCAGAUAACGAAGAUGGACAUUUUGCGCGCCUCGGAGGUACUGCCGCUACUGCAGGAGCGUCUGGCCAUACUGCCGGGAGGUCGCGAUCGCCGUGGCGGCCUGCUCUUGCUGUUCCCGUCCUCUGCCAGACGAGAGCGUGCCAAACCCGAGGACUACAGGCGACUGUUGCAGUACCUCACAGCAAUACCUACAGACGAAGACCGAAAUCUCAGGUUCACCGUCGUUGUCGAUAUGCGAGGUGCUACCUGGGACAUCGUCAAGCCCAUUUUCAAGGUACUGCACGACCACUUCCACCACUCGGUCUACGUGGCCUUCCUCAUCAAGCCCGAGAACUUUUGGCAGAAACAAAGGACCUCCUUGGCCAAACAGAAGAAGUACAAUUUCGAGAUUAAUACGGUUAAUUUAGAAGCGCUAGCUAGAAACAUAGACCCCUCGCAAUUGCCCGUGGAGCUGGAUGGAUCGCUUCAGUACGAUCAUGGCCAGUGGAUCGACAUUCGUUUAGCUGUAGAAGAAUUUACUUGGCAGGCUACCGACAUGCUUGAUAGGCUCGAUGACCUCCAAGAGGAUCUAAGCCGUAACGACUUUGCCGACGACGCCAGCGGCGCCAAACACGGCAUCGAUUUACACAACGAAAUGAAAAAAAAAAUCCUCAGCGUAACUGUCGACGAUAUCGGAGCACUAGGAAAUCGAUUGCUGCAACGUUUCAACAUCAACAUCAACGGUGGCGAAAGCAGCAGUAGCUUGGAAUCCGGUGCUACUGGUGGAUCCGAGUCAGACGGACGAGAUGUCGCCAAUCUCGUUCUUCAACAUCUGGAAUCCGUCAACGCCGCUCAGCAACAUCUGCUGCAGCUUUGGCACAUAAAAAAGCUCAAGCUCGAGCAGUGUUUUCAGCUAAGGAUGUUUGAGCAAGACUGCGAGAAAAUGUUCGAGUGGAUCUGUCGCAAUCGAGAAAAUUUCCUCUCCAACUAUGUCGAGAUUGGACGCUCUUAUCAACUUGCAAAAGGUCUGCAAGAGGACCACAAGCACUUCGCCGUGAAUUCCAUGAACAUGUACGUAAACAUUAACAAAAUCUUGACGAUGGCCAGUCGCCUUCUGGAAUCGCAGCAUUACGCGGCGGGUCACGUGCGUGCCGUGGCUGGCCGACUGGACCGAGCCUGGAAAGAAUUUGCCGCUGGCUUGGACGAGCGCACGGCCGUUCUGCAGCUCAGCGUCGUCUUCCAUCACAAAGCUGAGCAGUACGUCGACAACGUCUCGGGCUGGAGCCAGGCCUGCGAUGCCACCAACUUGCCGCAGGAAAUUCCUGUACUCGAAUCUUGCAUACGCCAGCAUCAGUCACUUUACGAAGCUAUGUGCCAGGCGUACACUGAGGUUUAUAAUGCAUAUCAGUCGCUAUUGAGUGGACUAGGCAAGAUGUUGCAAGUUUGUCACAGCGCGAACGCAGUCAUUGGCUCGUCAGAAGAAUACGUGCAUAGUACGAGUAAGAAGCUGCUUUACCAGCUGGAUCAUCUCGUGCAAGUUUGUAACCAACCCCAGGGAAUAGACCACGUGGCGAGAAAACACAGUCAAGACGGCCGCGUGAUGGAUGGCCGAGGCGGCAUAACUGGCAAUCCAGCAGCCGAUUACAGCGAAGGUGCCUCGCACGUUUUAGCCGUCAUUCAUCAGAUUCUCGGACAUCAUCGGGCACUCGAAGCUCGCUGGCAUGCUCGGAAAAUAAAGUUGCACCAACGGUUGGGGCUCAGAUUAUUUCAAGAAGAUGUAAAACAGGUGCUCGAGUGGCUGACCAAUCACGGCGAAGCCUUCAUCCGCAAAAAUACGGGAGUUGGUCGGAACUUGCAGAAGGCUCGAGUCUACCAGAAGAGCCACGAGCACUUUGAGAACGUAGCCCAGAACACGUAUACGAAUGCGUCGAAAUUACUCAGUGCCGCCGAGGAGUUGGCGCACACAGGCGAGUGUGCCCCCGAUGAAAUUUACGCCGUUGCCCAGGAGCUCGAGGCUCAUGUAAGCAGUUUCGCCGCCAGAGUCGAGCAGCGCAGAAGAAGAUUGGAUCUUGCCGUAGUUUUUUACACCCACGAAAAAGAGUUAUCCGGAUGGGUGGAUGAGCUACGCCAGGAGUUACAGCAGAACGAGAUCGCGGAGAGUCUUGAAACUGCUGAGCGCCUAUUAGAGCAAUGCGCGCAGCACAGAAGCUCGUGUCUCGAAGCCUGCGCAUCGACCAUAGCCCAGGGCGAGGCUCUACUACAAGAGCUGCGAGAAUCUACCGAAAUGCCCGACACUACUGGCUCGAUCGCUGCAGUUGAAGCAGCCUUAGACAGACUCGCUGGUCGACGACAAGAACUCGAGGAACUUUGGGCAACGAGGAAGCUUCGAUUUGAACUUUGUCUAAGACUUAGAGUUUUCGAGCGCGAUGCGUUAGAAGUCAGCGGUCAGUUGGAAAUGUGGGCAGAAGAAAUGCAAACAGCACCUCGUGAUGGUUCACCAGAUCAAUUAUUACGAGCUCACAACGAUAGUGUGCUUCAUAUACAGAACACUGCAUUUCAAGUUAUGCAGCAAGGGCAAGAGCUAGCUCAGGUACUCGAACAAGCUGGAGUUUGUAUUAUGGCUGAUGGACAACAUACAGCCGCUAAUCGAGUUCAAAUUCUAUUAGAAUUUUUGAAUGAACGAGAAAUGGAUGCCGAAGAAUUAGCUGAAAUGCGUCGUCAACGUCUUGAGCAAUCUGCUCAGCUUUUACAAUUACAGCAAGACGCGACUCAUGUGGCUAACUGGAUAAGAAAUGGAGAACAAAUGUUGCUAGCGUCUUUACGAAUACCUGAAAAUUUACAAGAUGCCGAGCAGUUAAGACAUGAACACGAACAGUUCCAAGUUGCCAUUGAAAAAACUCAUACAUCAGCUGUACAGGUAAAACACCGAGCAGAUGCUCUAAUAAGCGCAAAUCAUUACGAUCCCAAAAGUAUUAGAGAAGUAGCUGAGGAUGUAACUAAACGAUGGCAACAAUUAGUCACCUGUGCUGAAGAGCGCCAUAAACUUGUCACGGCCAGUAUUAAUUUCUACAAGACUGCUGAACAGGUGCGAUCUGUGCUUGAUAGUCUAGAACGCGAGUACAAACGCGACGAAGACUGGUGUAUGGGUGGUGAAAAAGCCGCUCAGGUACCAACUCUCGUUAACAAGCAUCAAGAGCAAAAAGAGGCAUUCCUCAAAGCAUGCACUCUCGUCAGACGAACCGCCGAGACAUUCCUUAAGUACACUAAUCGUAGUUUACAGUUCUACAGUUAUCAGAUUACCAGUACUAGUUCAGAAAGUAAAGUUAAAUGUAUUUUGGAAGAGCUACUAUGUAAGGAGAAUAAGGUGCUUGACAAUUGGACGCAGCGGAAAAAACGCCUCGACCAGUGUCAUCAAUAUGUAUUAUUUGAACGCAGUGCUAAGCAAGCUCUUGAGUGGAUCAGUGAGACUGGUGAAUUAUAUCUUGCCACCCACGCUAGUGCUGGCCGCAAUAGAGCUGAAAAUGAGCAGUUGUUGCUUGAACAUAACGAAUUCAAGGGAUCAGCUAAGGAAACGCGAGAAAGAGUAAAAUUACUCAUACAACUUGCCGACAAUUUAGUUGAGAAAGGUCAUGCACAUGCAGCAGCAAUCAAACAAUCUGUUGCAGAAGUAGAUCAAAGGUACAAAGAUUUUAGCAUGCGAUUAGACUGCUACAAAACUUCAAUCGAAGACGAUGUAGAAGUACAGUCAGAUGAGGGUCCAAAAGAAAUAACUAUAGAUAGAAAUUCAGAUCCUCUCCUAGAAGACAAAAUUAAAGGCAAGGAUCUAAAGGAACUGAAUGAAGAAAAACGCAAGUCUGCUAGGCGUAAAGAAUUUAUUAUGGCCGAGCUUUUACAAACAGAAAGAACGUAUGUUAAGGAUUUAGAAACUUGCAUUAGAUGUUUUCUAGAAGAAACGAAAAAUGGUAAAAAUAAUGUACCGUCAGGCCUUCAAGGACGUGAAUCAAUAAUAUUUAGCAAUAUGAAAGAAAUCUAUAAGUUCCAUAAUGAUAUUUUUCUUCGUGAACUCGAAAAAUAUGAAACAAUGCCUGAAGAUGUUGGUCAUUGUUUUGUUACUUGGGCUGCCAAAUUCGAUAUGUAUGUGACGUACUGUAAAAAUAAGCCAGAAAGCAAUCAAUUAUUAGUUGAGCACGGAGGAAAUUGGUUUGAAGACUUACAAAGAAAGCACAAAGUCGAACACCCGAUCGCUGCUUAUUUAAUUAAACCUGUGCAGAGAAUCACGAAGUAUCAACUGUUACUCAAAGAUCUUCAGGCGUGCUGCCAGGAAGGUCAAGGUGAAAUAAAAGAUGGUCUCGAAGUAAUGCUGAAUGUGCCUAAAAAAGCAAACGAUGCCUUACACUUGAGUCUUCUAGAAGGCUGCGAUGUCAGUAUAGAUGCCCUUGGGGAUGUAGUUUUACAGGAUCCCUUUACAGUCUGGGAUCCCAAACAGUUGAUUAGAAAAGGCCGAGAGCGACAUAUUUUCUUGUUUGAGCUUUAUUUACUAUUCAGCAAAGAAGUUCGUGACUCUAGUGGCAAAGUGAAAUACAUUUAUAAAAGUCGAUUAAUGACAUCGGAAUUGGGCGUGACUGAGCACAUCGAGGGAGAUGAGUGUAAAUUUGCUGUCUGGACCGGCAGAGCACCGACGAACGACACACGCGUUGUUUUACGUGCCAAUUCUCUAGAAUCGAAACAGCAGUGGGUUAAACGACUGAGAGAAGUGAUUCAAGAGACGUACUUUAGUCUUAGCAUGCCGAAGAGUCCAGCUAAAAAGAGUUCGAGUCAACGAUCGAGUCGUGAUCUUGAGGAGUGCGCUUCGUUGAAUGAUAGCGUUGAAAACUUGGAUAGAAAUUCCCUUGCUUCAUUUGGAUCAACUAAUACUACAGAUUCGGAUAAGACGGCGGUAACAGAAAUGACGUGGGUCGUGGCAGAUCACUCGGCAGCUCCGGGCUCGCGCGAACUCAGCGUCAGCAAGGGACAGCAGGUCGAGGUGCUGGAAAACGGCGGCAGCGGAAGUGGUGUCGAAUGGACUCUGGUGAGAUUGGCCCAGACGCCGGGGCAAAGCGAGCCCCCGGCUGAAGGUUUAGUGCCAACGAGCGCACUUAAACAGCCACCGGCAGCUGCUUGCAAGACUUCGCCAUCGAAAAAGCCACCGUCAAUGCCGCAGGCCUGCGGCGCCACUAUGGCCCAGCAAACUUCUCUCAAUGCCGACGAUGAAAUCAUCGGUAACGAUGGAUCGGCGAACACUAGUUCACCUGGCAACAAGAGACGUGGAUUCAGUGGUUACAGACGAAAAUGGCUGCCACCACCAUUACGCAAAUUAAGUCAAAGUAAAGGGGAUAAAACAUCGACUGACCGACCGCCACCACCACCACCUCCUCCGCCACCUUCGUCUGGUGUCACGAAGAAAAGUGGCCUCGAUAAGCUAUUCAAGCUGCCGAGCUCUGGUGACAAAUCGUCGUCCUCGUCGCAAGCUCAAAUUUCCGCGAUCUCGUCCUCCCCGGGCAGCGUGCUAGCCAGCAGUGCUUCCUCGAGGCAGAGCAGCGGUGAAGGUACCGCGUCUGCAGCCACUCCUAUUCCAACCCCGACGGCCACCACGACCAUUAGUAGUGACGAAAUUAGUCGAUUGCCUGAGCAGAAUGGAGCCGAGGACGUCGAGGACGAACAGCUCGAACUGCCACCGCCCAUGAAACCAAUUACCGAACCUAUGAUGGUUUCCGGUACACCUAGCACCACAGCUGGUGACGAACUGCCUGGUCCAUUGACGACGGAGACGAUAAAGUCAUUGGAUGGAUCCACUAGCAUAGCAGAAAUUGAGCAGAUAGUCAAAGAAAAAAUGGAGCAACAUACGGAAAAUCGCGAAAGAAUCAGCAGCACGAGCAGUGGAAGCCAGCAGCAGUCGCAGGUAUUGAAAUCAUCUUCGUCCGUGCAAGGCACUGAGUCGCCAGUUUUGGGCGCAUCGACAGAAACAGACGAACCUACGUCGUCUAGUGGCAGCGAUGAUCCCGAAACUACGGCACUGACCAAGCGGCAGUUCGUCAUACGUGAAUUAGUUGAAACUGAGCGUGAUUACGUCAACGAUCUGCGCCUUAUUGUCGAGGGAUACAUGGCCAUGAUGCGUAAUCCGGAUAAUGAGAUUCCUUUGCCAGAAGAUCUCAAGGGUGGCAAGGAUAAAAUGGUGUUUGGCAAUCUCGAAGCUAUCUACGAGUGGCACAGAGAUAUUUUCCAAAAAUCCCUUGAGCACUGCCUCCAGCGACCCGAGGAACUUGGCCCUUUGUUCAAACGUCACGAACGAAAAUUGCACAUGUACGUUGUGUACUGUCAGAACAAGCCGGUCUCGGAGUAUAUCGUAUCCGAAUACAUCGACACUUACUUUGAGGAUCUACGUCAAAAACUAGGACAUAGGUUGCAACUGUGUGAUCUUCUAAUAAAGCCUGUACAGAGGAUCACAAAAUAUCAAUUGUUACUUAGAGAAGCUCUCAGGCUAACAGAACGAACUCGAAGACAUUCAGAAAUUGAAGGACUGAAAGCAGCUACAAAAGUAAUGCGAAUUAUCCCCAAAGCUGCUAACGAUAUGAUGGAUGUUGGCAGACUGCAAGGUUUCGAUGGAAAAAUCACAAGUCAAGGAAAGCUUUUGUUACACGGACCUUUGAUGGUUGCGGAACUGUCCUCCAUGCCAAGUCGAGGUCGAGAAUGGCAAGUUUUUCUAUUCGAGCAAAAUAUCAUAUUUAGCGAAGCAGUUGGAAAAAAGACACAAUUCACAAAUCCAGCCUACAUUUACAAAGCUCAUAUCCAGGUAAAUAAAAUGAUCCUCGAAGAUUACCCUGAAGAUCCGGAAAAGUUCAUCAUUCGCUCGACAGAUGUUAAAACACCUCUUGCUUUUGUGUGCUAUUGUGGUGCGGUAACAAAUGAAGAUAGUGCAGCAGGUAUCGGUAGUAAUCGCCAAGAAUGGGUCGACCAGAUGACCUCAAUUCUUCAAACGCAACGUGAUUUCCUCAAGGCGUUACAAUCGCCUAUCGCCUACCAAAAGGAACUUACCAAAGAUCCACUCAGUCGUGGCAGCUUCACAGCGACCGAUUCUCUGCUGCCAUCGAGUCGUCUAUCAGCUAUCAACCAAACAAGCGGUCAGUCAGCAAGACGAGAAUCAACGGCGUCGGUUUCAUCGAGCAGUGUCAGUAAUUCAUCUAGAAAACAGCAACAUCAGGUGCAGCGCUCGCGCACUGGUGGACCUCUGGAUCCAGCUGAGCCACCGCGCACCCCGAGUCCGUCCAAGAGCAAACUUAACUUUCUCGAGGGUUUCAGGAACACGCUGAGGGCUCGUUCACCUGUGCGCAUUGGAACCGUGCCGCCAAGGGAUACAACGUCUACUUCAUCGUUUUUUUCUUGAUGUCUGUCGAUGACAACUUAUUAUUGUCUUGCCUUCUGUCGUGGUAGUGAUAAGACAGCGUAUUUUUACUACUAAGUUUAAAAAAAUACAAAAUAAUGAAAUAAAAUCAAGACCGUUAGAGCUUAAUUGAAAAAUCAGUAUGGUUCUGAUUUGUUUUAGUUGAUAAAAGUCGCCGCUUGUCGCUCAUAUACACUUUUAUACUGAGAAUAUCAGUAUGACUUUAUAUAAAGAGGUGUUAUCGCGUUUAUUAAACAGCCAAAAUUUUUUUAAAACAUGUCCAUCGUAACUACUGACAAACAAAUAUGUGUCGUAAAUAAUUUUUCACGGUGAUUUGAUAUUAUCUUUGGCUUAAACGUAAAACUUGACUGUGAUUAAAGUUUCAUCGGAAAGGUUUUUUGAUACAGUUUUGAUUCAAUUACUUCAUUCUUUUUUUAUCAUACCAUUUUGAUGCAACUUUUUUAAUUUUAGUUACGUUUCAAAUAAUUUUUUCAAGGCAUUACAUCUUGAUAAAUACGUAAUAAAAUUUUUUUAAAAGAUUUUCAGAAGAAGUACUCGAUAGUUUUAAUAGUAAAUAAAAAUUACUUAUGUAACAAUUUAGUUGUUUUCUCUAAAAAGUAACAGAAUAAUUUACUUAAGAAAAACAGGAGUCCGUUUUCUUUUUGAUCUUGAAAUCAUGAACAUUUUCGACAAAAUGAUACAGCAAUUAUUCGACAAUCUUUAAUUAUAAAGCAUGUGAUACCUCCAGAGUAAUUAUCUACGAACAUUUCUGUGAAAUAAUAAUCUUUAUGAUUUAGUAUUAAACUAGAUCGAUCCAUGCACUAUCUUAUCGAGCUGACUUGUAAAAUAUCUUAACUGCAAUAUAGCACACUACAAUAUUGUAAUAAUUUGGCUGGAUAUAUAGUAUUAUUAGUUUGUAAUUUAUUUGAAACAUAAGCAUGGUUCGCGAAAUGAAUAGGUGUAUUAAGUACUGAUCUCAAAAACCAAUAAAAAGCUGAAGUUGGACGAGCAUGUUAACUUAUCAGCAUGGUCAAGAGCAUGUUAUUAACUAAUUCUACUUCCUCUGCUACGUUGGUCAGCUGGAAGAAUCUCAAGUAACAUUUGACUGGUAGCUCCAGGUGCUCGCGUCCGUCUAUCCGCAGACUGGGGUGCUUUGCGAACCGGCGACGAAGUCGUCGUAAAACGCCUCGAAGGUAAUGG